rnacentral:rRNA from 1 species
AUUGAACGCUGGCGGCAUGCUUUACACAUGCAAGUCGAACGAAGUGGCGAACGGGUGAGUAACGCGUAAUCAACCUGCCCUUCAGAGGGGGACAACAGUUGGAAACGACUGCUAAUACCGCAUACUGAAGGAGGGGAUUGCGUCGGAUUAGCUAGUUGGAGGGGUAACGGCCCACCACGGCGAGGAUCAGUAGCCGGUCUGAGAGGGUGACCGGCCACAAGGGGACUGGGACGCGGGCAUUACUGAGACGGGAGGAAGCAGUGGGGAAUAGUGGAAAAUGGACCAAAGUCUGAUCCAGCAAUUCGGUGUGCACGAUGAAGUUUGUCGGAAUGUAAAGUGCUUUCAGUUGGGAAGCAGUACCAACAGAAGAAGUGACGGCUAAAUACGUGCCAGCAGCCGCGGUAAUAC